rnacentral:piRNA from 1 species
UGAUAGUAUACACCUUUUGUCUCAG